UACGUAGGUGACAAGCGUUGUCCGGAUUUACUGGGCGUAAAGAGCGCGCAGGCGGUCGUUCAAGUCGAGUGUGAAAGCCCCCGGCUCAACUGGGGAGGGUCAUUCGAUACUGAUCGACUCGAAGGCAGGAGAGGGAAGUGGAAUUCCCGGUGUAGUGGUGAAAUGCGUAGAUAUCGGGAGGAACACCGGUGGCGAAGGCGGGUCUCUGGGCCGAUACUGACGCUGAGGAGCGAAAGCGUGGGGAGCAAACAGG
rnacentral:rRNA from 1 species